UUUCUAUAUUACAUAAACAUCUCAGCAGACAUGAAAACACUUCUGGUGCUGUUCAUAUUACUGUCAUAUUUCUCAGGGGUUCUUUCUGAUGUUCAACUUCUGCAGUCAGAUUCUGUGGUGAUAAAGCCAGGAGGCUCUCACACAAUUUCAUGUACAGCCUCUGGAUUCACUUUCAGCAGCUAUGACAUGAACUGGGUUAGACAGGCUCCUGGUAAAGGAUUACAGUGGGUGGGUUAUAUCAGCAGCGGCGGGGGUACUAUACAGUAUGAUGAAUCAGUUAAAGGAAGAUUUGUUAUCUCCAGAGACAACAGUAAAAACAUUUUACAACUUCAAAUGAAAAAUACAAAAACUGAAGACACUGCAAUGUAUUACUGUGCAAGAGACACAGUGACAAGGAGCUCACAGCACUGUGACAAAAAACUUGUCUGUUACUUCCUUGUUUUAGCAGUAGGGGCAGCAGAAGCACAUUACAUCCCCAAUUAA